rnacentral:rRNA from 1 species
AUACGGAAGGUCCGGGCGUUAUCCGGAUUUAUUGGGUUUAAAGGGAGCGCAGGCUGAUGAUUAAGCGUGACGUGAAAUGUAGCCGCUCAACGGCUGAACUGCGUCGCGAACUGGUUAUCUUGAGUGAGUUCGAUGUUGGCGGAAUUCGUGGUGUAGCGGUGAAAUGCUUAGAUAUCACGAAGAACUCCGAUUGCGAAGGCAGCCAACAAAGCCUUUACUGACGCUAAAGCGCGAAGGGGCGGGUAUCGAACAGGAGUAGAUACCGUGGGAGGCCGCACGGUAAACGAUGGAUGCACGCUGUUUGCGAUAUACUGUGAGCGGCCAAGAGAAAUCGUUAAGCAACCCACCUGGGGAGUACGCCGGCAACGGUGAAACUCAAAGGAAUUGACGGGG